rnacentral:piRNA from 1 species
UGGGCCUCAAUCUUAAAAGCUGGAUGUUUAC